AUGCCUGAGUGGUUUGGGGGUCUGGUACAUUUGGUGAAGAUUGAGUUAUGGUAUAGCAAUCUGAAGGAUGGAGAUAAAAGCAUGAAACUACUAGGCACACUGCCCAAGCUGAUGCUCCUUCGUCUUUAUUUUGAUUCUUAUGUUGGGGAGAAACUGGUUUUCAGAGCAGAAACAUUCCCAAAUCUCAGGAGACUUGAUAUUUGGAGCCUGGAGCAACUGACAGAGUUGACAUUUGAGGUGGGCACCUCGCCCCUAUUGGAAAAGAUAGAAAUUCUCUGCUGCAGUUUGAAAUCAGGGAUUAAUGGUAUCAAUCACCUUCCAAGUCUCAAGGAGAUUUUACUUGGUUGGGAUGGUAAAGUGGCAAGGCUUGGUAUGCUGCAACGUGAAGUGGAUGGACACCCCAACCAUCCCGUUCUGCGACUGCUGUGGGACCGGAACCGCCACGACCUGGGUGACGUCGCCGAAGGUUCCACUACUGCAGUACAAGCGGAGGAGGAAGCGACGGAGCAGGAGGAAUCAUGUAUCCAUAACGACCCUGCAGCAGCAGGAGAAAGCUCCUCCUCACAGGUGGUGGCCGUGAGGACGGGAAGCGACAGCAUCCAAGAUUCUGAAGAUGAUUUUUGCUCCUGCAUUUCUGACGACGACGACAAUGCUUGA
rnacentral:rRNA from 1 species